rnacentral:tRNA from 1 species
GCCUGGUUGGCUCAGUUGUUAGAGCAUGUGACUCUUGAUCUCAGGGUCAUGAGUUCUAGCCCCACAUUGGGCC